rnacentral:rRNA from 1 species
UCAAAAAUUUUAAACUUUUGCAUUUAAAUUUUAUCUUAAUCCAACAUCGAGGUCGCAAACUCUUUUUCUUAUUUGUACUAAAAAAAAAAAUUACGCUGUUAUCCCUAAGGUAAUUGAUUCUUUUAAUCAUAAAUUAUGGAUCAUAAUUUCAUAAAUUAAUGUUAAAUUUUUAAAAAAAGUUCAUUUAAUUUUUCUAUCACCCCAAUAAAAUAAUUAAUUAAUUUUAAAUUUAAUUUAUAUAUAAAAUUUUUAAAUUAAAUAAUUAUAAAACUCUAUAGGGUCUUCUCGUCUUUUAUAAUUAUUUUAGCUUUUUAACUAAAAAAUUAAAUUUUAUUUUUAAAAAAGAGACAGUUCAUAUUUCAUCAAAUCAUUCAUACAAGUCUUCAAUUAAAAGACUAUUGAUUAUGCUACCUUUGUACAGUCAAUAUACUGCAGCCCUU